rnacentral:rRNA from 1 species
UACGUAGGGGGCAAGCGUUGUCCGGAAUCACUGGGCGUAAAGCGCGUGUAGGCGGCCCACUAAGUCUGAUGUGAAAGCCCGGGGCUCACCCCCGGAAGUGCAUUGGAAACUGGUGGACUCGAGUCCCGGAGAGGAGAGUGGAAUUCCUGGUGUAGCGGUGAAAUGCGUAGAUAUCAGGAGGAACACCGGUGGCGAAGGCGGCUCUCUGGACGGUGACUGACGCUGAGACGCGAAAGCGUGGGGAGCAAACAGG